UUGAUUAUGUACAUACAUGUUAUAAACCACUGUACGUAUGGUUACUGUAUGUAACUUACUAAACAUACAUAACAUGACUUAACUUUGAUACUUUUUUGGUACAUUCCAGAAAACCAGGACCCCCUCCAUGAUGCAGGCUAUGGGGCCACAUAAAACUUUGUCCAGGGUUACUACAUAACAUAAAGAACCCCCUGAAUGAUGUAGGCUAUGGGGCCACAUAAGACUUUGUGCAUCCAGGGUUACAAAGCAGGACAACUUUAAACUAAAAAGCUACCAGACUGGGAUUUUAGUGUACUCCAGGAUCUACCAAAUACUACUACGAAGUGUACAGUGCAUAAUAUAGUGUUUAGUGUAUAAUCUAACCUAAGGAUUAAGUGUAGUACAUUGUGCUUUAUAGUGUCACAAGAGUUUAAUAAAGAAUUAUACCUUCAAGAACCAU